rnacentral:rRNA from 1 species
CAGCCGCCGCGGGAAUACGAAGGGGGCUAGCAUUGCUCGGAAUCACUGGGCGUAAAGGGUGCGUAGGCGGGUCUUUAAGUCAGGGGUGAAAUCCUGGAGCUCAACUCCAGAACUGCCUUUGAUACUGAGGAUCUUGAGUUCGGGAGAGGUGAGUGGAACUGCGAGUGUAGAGGUGAAAUUCGUAGAUAUUCGCAAGAACACCAGUGGCGAAGGCGGCUCACUGGCCCGAUACUGACGCUGAGGCACGAAAGCGUGGGGAGCAAACAGGAUUAGAUACCCCUGUAGUCCCUGUCUCUUAUAC